rnacentral:rRNA from 1 species
CACGUAGGCGGGUUGUUAAGUCAGAGGUGAAAUCCUGGAGCUCAACUCCAGAACUGCCUUUGAUACUGGCGACCUUGAGUCCGGGAGAGGUGAGUGGAAUUGCGAGUGUAGAGGUGAAAUUCGUAGAUAUUCGCAAGAACACCAGUGGCGAAGGCGGCUCACUGGCCCGGAACUGACGCUGAGGUGCGAAAGCGUGGGGAGCAAACA